CACCUGCGCCACAAGUGGUGAUCGCGUUUAUUUGGCCUAAAGCGUUCGUAGCCGGAUUAGUAACUCUUUUGUGAAAUUGUCAGGCUUAACCUGACAGCGUGCAGGGGAAACUGCUAAUCUAGGGACUGGAGAGAAGUUAGAAGUAUGCCGGGGGGAGCGGUAAAAUGCGAUAAUCCUCGGUAGACUACCUGUGGCGAAGGCGUCUAACUAGAACAGAUCUGACGGUGAGGAACGAAAGCUGGGGG
rnacentral:rRNA from 1 species